AUUGAACGCUGGCGGAAUGCUUUACACAUGCAAGUCGAACGGCAGCACGGACUUCGGUCUGGUGGCGAGUGGCGAACGGGUGAGUAAUGUAUCGGAACGUGCCCAGUCGUGGGGGAUAACGUAGUGAAAAUUACGCUAAUACCGCAUACGAUCUAUGGAUGAAAGCGGGGGAUCGCAAGACCUCGUGUGAUUGGAGCGGCCGAUAUCAGAUUAGGUAGUUGGUGGGGUAAAGGACAACCAAGCCAACGAUCUGUAGCUGGUCUGAGAGGACGACCAGGCACACUGGAACUGGGACACGGUCCAGACUCCUACGGGAGGCGUCAGUGGUGAAUUUUGGACAAUGGGCGAAAGCCUGAUCCAGCCAUUCCGCGUGCAGGAUGAAGGCCCUCGGGUUGUAAACUGCUUUUGUACAGAACGAAAAGGUUUCUACUAAUACUAGGAGCUCAUGACGGUACUGUAAGAAUAAGCACCGGCUAACUACGUGCCAGCCGCCGCCGUAA
rnacentral:rRNA from 1 species